UGAUGUUACAAACAAGCGUGCGGUAAGAUCAGAACCCCGCUUGUAUUACUGGUGAUUGGCCCGGCAACACAGUCUUCAGAAUUAAUGAAUGAUGUGUGAGUGAAUUAUGUUCAGAGGUCUCUUAAAGGAGAACCAUCCGGUUGGUUUUAAAUUCCUCUUUCUUAGAUCCAGUUAUUUUAAAGGACUAGCACGA